rnacentral:rRNA from 1 species
UGGGGAAUUUUGGACAAUGGGCGCAAGCCUGAUCCAGCCAUGCCGCGUGCGGGAAGAAGGCCUUCGGGUUGUAAACCGCUUUUGUCAGGGAAGAAAUCUUCUGAGUUAAUACCUCGGGAGGAUGACGGUACCUGAAGAAUAAGCACCGGCUAACUACGUGCCAGCAGCCGCGGUAAUACGUAGGGUGCAAGCGUUAAUCGGAAUUACUGGGCGUAAAGCGUGCGCAGGCGGUUUUGUAAGACAGAGGUGAAAUCCCCGGGCUCAACCUGGGAACUGCCUUUGUGACUGCAAGGCUUGAGUGCGGCAGAGGGGGGAUGGAAUUCCGCGUGUAGCAGUGAAAUGCGUAGAUAUGCGGAGGAACACCGAUGGCGAAGGCAAUCCCCUGGGCCUGCACUGACGCUCAUGCACGAAAGCGUGGGGAGCAAACAGGAUUAGAUACCCUGGUAGUCCACGCCCUAAACGAUGUCAACUGGUUGUUGGGAAGGUUCCUUCUCAGUAACGUAGCUAACGCGUGAAGUUGACC